AACAUAAUUUUUUCAAUUCGAGUCAGCUUUCUUGAAAUUAUUUGUUGCGAUAACCGAUGAACAAGUAUUUGCUCGUGUUUACUUUUUUUUUCUCAUCUUUUUCUUCUUCCUUUGUUUUUUUUUUUUUUUUUUUUUUUUUUUUUUUUUUUUUGAUAUCGUUGAUCGUUAUUUGAAUUUUUCCGCCUCAUUGUUGCCAAUCGAGUAAGAUCGAACUUACCUCAUCUUCCCUCAUAUUUUAUUAUAAACUCGAAUGGUCGCGAAUUAUUAAGAUCUUGGAUUUCUUCGUUAAAUCUUUUUUACCCAAAACUCGAUGAUUCAUAUAUCUUAUUAAAUCUUUUCUUCCCUCGGCUCUUACUUUAUAUCGAUAAUUUUCUUAUCUCUGUCUUGGCCCAGCGAACGAAAAAAAUGGCCUUAUAAAUGUGUGUGUGUUUAUCUAUAGCUAUAUAUAGAUAUACCAUUAGUCUUGCGAACGGAAAUAGAUCGAUACGUCGUUUCUCUCGCUUGAAUACUUGAACGUAGUAUAAACAAUAAGAUCGAAAGGUUAUCCUUUGACAUUUAGAUAUAUGUACGUUUCGAACAAAGAUAUUCAAAUGUAGGUUAUAUUCUAUUUGCACGUAAUGAAGGAAAAAAUGUGUAUGAUUUAAAAACGAGGAUAUAUCGACGAACAAUUUCGAGAACGGUCUAUAGAACGUUAACAUGGAAUAAUUGCUAACAAAGGAAAGUGACCUUUCGAAACUAUAGAAGAGAACGACAACGAUAUGUGUGUAUCGACUGGAAGUUAAUUUAAGUGUCGUAAGACUUAACGAUUCGCGAACAAGUGGAGAAGAUUAAAUUCAAGUUUAAAGGAGUGGCCGUUUCGAUCUAAUAACGAACGUCUCCAUCUAUAAUAUAUAUUUCGAUUCGUUCGACCUUUAUUUUCUUAUAUAGAUAGAUAUAUUAACUUUUUCCUAUGCUUUUCUAAUGGCGAUGAUCUAGCGAAAUAAAUAAACAGGAUAAUGCUAACAAUUCCGUUUUUCUCUCGCCGUUUCAAUGUAUUGGUGGUCCCCAGAAAUGGCCAGAGGGAUAUAGAAGGAACUGGAAUCACGUACGUCAAUCACGCUCUGUUUAUCGUACGUGUGCCAAUCGUUCCCAUUUAGAUUGAAUUUUUUUCCCUCGGACUAAUAUGAACGGUACUGCUCGAGUUCUUACUGCUCGAGGAGAAAGAGGAUAUCUUCUGCUUCUUAUGCUUCUCGUCCUCCUCUUCGUCUUCGUCUUCGUCUUCGCCUUCGCCUUCGCCUCGCCUUCGCCUUCGCCUCGCCUUUGCCUUCGCCUUCGCCUUCGCCUUCGUCUUCUCCUUCUCGUGAUAAAUGAAACUUUUCGAGGGUAGAAAACCUUUUUCCGUAUGGUCUUGUAGCCUGGCUUACUCGGUUCGUUACGUUCAUCGCUCGAUAUACACGUAACUUCCUUUUCCCCUUCUAAAAUAAGGAAAAAAAGAACCGUGAAAAAGUGACCGAUAUGAUAAGGCAAAUUAAAGAGAUUUUUUUUCUACCUAUUAUCGAUUAGUAAUAUUACAUUUGACAAAUAAUUAUUAGUAAUGUCAAAGUGAAAAAAGGGCGAAGCAGAAGGAAGGAUAGAAAAGAAAAAUUCUCUGGCGAGAAGAGAGAGGCUUCAUGGUUCCUAAAGAAAACGAAAUUGAAACGGUCGACGGGUUUGUAAGGCCGUCUUAAGUACGAGACCCCCAUCUUUGAAUCCGCUGAAACUUUUCUUUUAACUUUUUCGAAUGGGGCGGGUCUCGAAAACUUCGAAACCGACAGCAAGUAAAAGAGAAAGAAAAAGAGAGUGGCCCUCGGCGUCCAAUUAUAAAAUUCUUUUCCUUUCUCACGACUUCCACGAGCUCCGAGAUAAAAUACACACACAGACACGUAUACACAUAUGUACAGGCAGUCGCACACGCCGCACGCACAUUUAUGUAUACAUAUAUAUAUACGUACAAGAGGAAACGAAGAAAAUGAAAUAAAUUUUUCGACUUGGCCUCGUCUUGGAUUCAUAACCUCUUUAAAAAGUUCUACCGAAGAGGCGAAUGUCCAUUAAUAUUUCGUCAUCGUCCAAUAAGCAAAGCCCUUUUCAUUCAUAUAUUCACGCCAACUUAUACACAUAUUAACGGGUAUUCACAUCGAUUCAUAUAGUUCAUACGUAAACCCACGCAUAAUACUCACACAUAAAUCCAUAAAUGGAUCCAAAAGUUUUCUCAUACGAAAUGCUUUUACUCGUCGAAUACCUUUCUCGCACCAUCUCUCUCUUUCGCCCGCACAUAUACAAGCAAAAUUCAAAUGCAAAUGAAGAUAGAUAUGUACGCAAAAAAGAAGCAUUGACAAUAUUUUCCUGUUGUAUUUAUCAAGUAUAUUACAAGUAUAUAAUUUAUGAUAUUGUUAAUACUUUUUCAAUAUAAUAUUUAAAUGAAUCGUACGUUCGACUCCUACGUCGAUAAACAAGUUCCAAUUUUUGGUGGAAAGAAGAGAAAAAGAAAAUUUCCCCAUCAAUCUUUUAUGGAUUGAUGGGCAAAGAGCAAGCUACUUACGUAUAUAACGUAUUUGGAUUCGAUUCACGACAUUUGUCGUACCGUUAUAUGACUUUCAACACAUGCUGCUAUGCCGGAUGCAUGAGUUGUCAGGAAGUCGAGUCGAAUCAACCAACGAGCUUCCACUGCGUCGUCCAUCGUCGUCCAUGUUGAAUUCGCGUGACUUCGUUUCCCAAACGCUUUGCUGCAUGGUCGAUAAUUAGCUUGGCAUUUUCCGUUAGAAAAACGUUCGUUCGUUCGAAAAAAAAAAAAAAAAAAAAAAAAAAAAAAAAGAAAAAAAAAAAAAAAAAAAAAAAAAAAAAAAAGAAAAAAAAAAAGAAAAAAAAGAAAAAAUGAUAAAUAAAUAACACGACUCCAAUUAUACGUACAGAAGAGCCGAGUGAUCUCGUUAAAGAUGCUGACCGUCCAUUUCUCCACCGUAAAGCUAGUUAACCUCAAAUACUACCUCAAUUUCGUUCCAAGUAACUCGCCACUUCGCUUUUGCAUUUAAAUAACGUUUACCGACUGCAUCCUCGUAUACAGAGUGACUCGUUUCUAUCUGCAAAUAAAUAUACUUUAAUGAAAAGAUCUUAUAAAAUAAUCAAACUUACAAACAAAUUUUGGCAAUUUUGGUCAUUUACGUCAUUUACAUACCGAGUGAUCGAUAUAAUUUACAACAUUUUAUAAAAUAACAAGAUCACAAUAUUUCGAUAUAUCAAUGAUCGAAUAAAAAUGAAAUUUAUUUAAUGUUGACGAUUUUUGAUAAACAAAACCGUAUCCGCUUAUGAAUGAUACGGGGCCACUCUGUACGUGCAUACGUACAGAUAAAUGGCUCGUAUUUGUUAGCAGGGGAUGGGAGUGCAGUCGCAUAAGUUUCUUUGACCGGUUGGAAAUUCGACGUGGCAUAUUCCAACGAAACUGAUGGUCACCAGCACGAUAAAUACAUUACUGCCAUUUCUACUAUCCAGAAUCAUGGAAAAGCUCUGAGAUUCUCAGAGCUUUUACGACUUUCGAUAACGUACCAUGAAAAGUAUCUUUCCGGACACGAGUGCUCUUCAAUGUUUCCAAGUGAAAAGAUACUUCGAACUUGCUCUCUCGCGAGUCCUAUGAAAAUGUUU